ACGAACGCUGGCGGCGUGCUUAACACAUGCAAGUCGCACGGAAAGGCCCUGCUUUUGUGGGGUGCUCGAGUGGCGAACGGGUGAGUAACACGUGAGUAACCUGCCCUUGACUUUGGGAUAACUUCAGGAAACUGGGGCUAAUACCGGAUAGGAGCUCCUGCUGCAUGGUGGGGGUUGGAAAGUUUCGGCGGUUGGGGAUGGACUCGCGGCUUAUCAGCUUGUUGGUGGGGUAGUGGCUUACCAAGGCUUUGACGGGUAGCCGGCCUGAGAGGGUGACCGGCCACAUUGGGACUGAGAUACGGCCCGGACUCCUACGGGAGGCAGCAGUGGGGAAUAUUGCACAAUGGGCGGAAGCCUGAUGCAGCAACGCCGCGUGCGGGAUGACGGCCUUCGGGCUGUAAACCGCUUUCGCCUGUGACGAAGCGUGAGUGACGGUAAUGGGUAAAGAAGCACCGGCUAACUACGUG
rnacentral:rRNA from 1 species